rnacentral:rRNA from 1 species
AUUGAACGCUGGCGGCAGGCCUAAAACAUGCAAGUCGAACGAGUGGCGGACGGGUGAGUAAUGUCUGGGAAACUGCCCGAUGGAGGGGGAUAACUACUGGAACCGGUAGCUAAUACCGCAUACAAUCGGAUGGGCCAAGAGGGGAUUAGCUAUAGGGUGGGGUAAUGGCUCACCUAGGCGACGAUCCCUAGCUGGUCUGAGAGGAUGACCAGCCACACUGGAACUGAGACACGGUCCAGACUCCUACGGGAGGCAGCAGUGGGGAAUAUUGCACAAUGGGCGCAAGCCUGAUGCAGCCAUGCCGCGUGUAUGAAGAAGGCCUUCGGGUUGUAAAGUACUUUCAGCGGGGAGGCGUUACCCGCAGAAGAAGCACCGGCUAACUCCGUGCCAGCAGCCGCGGUAAUAC